UACGUAAGGGGCAAGCGUUGUCCGGAAUCACUGGGCGUAAAGCGCACGUAGGCGGUUUGCCAAGUUGGGGGUGUAAGCUCUGGGCCUAACCCAGAAAUUGCCUCCAAAACUAGCAUACUUGAGUAUUAGAGGGGAAGCUGGAAUUCACGGUGUAGCGGUGAAAUGCGUAGAUAUCGUGGAGAACACCCGUGGCGAAGGCGGGCUUCUGGCUAAUUACUGACGCUGAGGUGCGAAAGCUAGGGGAGCGAACGGG
rnacentral:rRNA from 1 species